ensembl:lncRNA
AAAGCAACAGAUAUAAAGUUUAUUUCUUUCCAGGGCAUACACCGACCUGCACAUGACGAGGCUGACAGGCAACGACACGAAUCUGAAGGAGAAGCUCUUGUCUACGGUGAAGAGAUGCAUUGAAACUCAGCUUCCAGAUUUCUUGGGAGACCUAGAUAUACAUUUUCAAAUUGAUUCUUUUCAGAUUUGCAUUUGACCUUAUCCUUCGCUCUUUCUCCUCUCGGGUCGUCCAUGAGUUCCUGAUGGUUUGCCUGGCCCAUCUGAAGAAGCUUCAGGCCUAAAUACACCUGCCCUGCAGCUAACAUGGAGUUCCAGCUCAACCGCCGGCGCACCUGCGACAGCUGUGGCUUCCAGAGGAGCUUCAGAGAGGAUUCAAAUUACCUCUCGCUGGUCAUCAGUCCUCAAGGAUGCCUCGUUGACAGUCUACAUCUUCGUUUGAAUGCUCCUGCAGUGAGUGUGCCAGCACUGUGGCUUCAGAGGGUGCUGGUGCUUCUGGUCAUGCGCUUUGACAUCACAUCCUCAAUGCAGAAGCUGGAGAAUCGACUGGAAGCUCCAGAAGAGUUUGCACUGUCCUGUGGUAAAGUGCAGCAGCAGCUGGUUCAUGUAAAAGGAAGGGAAUUACAUCUAAAGCAAACAUCAUCUUCAUGAAGAUCCUCUUGUGGUUCGUCCGCCUCUAAACACCAGCUCACACGUCUUCCCUGAUUCCUCCUCAUCAUCCCGGGAAUCACGGCUCCUGUUAAGGAUUGCACAGUUUGACAAUGUUAGAUUUCCAGUUUAACUUGUGUGUGCAUCGACACUUCCGAUUUUGUGAGAAACCUGAAUCUUACCUAUUAUAUAUAUAUAUAUAUAUAUAUAUAUAUAUAAACGUAUGUAUAAUUUUACACUAUGUAUAAAAACAUGUAAACAUUACAUUGAUCCUCACUCAUCAAUAAAUGUUAUUUAUAUAGAAAAUGUUUGAAUUAC